rnacentral:rRNA from 1 species
CCCUACGGGGCGCACCAGCAAUAGCAGCCCUUACCCCUCCGAACGGCUGAAAUGCAAUGCAAAUCAUCAUAGCCGAUCCCCGAGAAACCCCAGCACGAUGGAACAGAAACUUUCCGGGUCCUGGAACAUCAACCCGUGCCCCGCCCCCGGGACGAUACGCAGAACUGCGUCCGGGAGGCGCCGCGCCAUCAGCCGCGAGUUUUCCGGGGGAACGAUGACAUCCUGGUCCCCGGACAGGAGGAGCGUCGGCAUCCGCAGCCUUUCCAGCCGCUCCAUCGAGCCCUCCCAGUCCUGGAUCGCCUUCUGCUGGAGAGCCGCAGACUCCCCGGGGACCCUGCCCAGGGGGCGGGAAAAGAUUUCACCCACUCGCCUCAGGUUUUCUGCAAGCCACCGUGGCGGGAGGGC